rnacentral:pre_miRNA from 1 species
AAAAAGACAAACCCUGGUUUUCGUGUCCAACGUUUGACCGUCCAUCUUAUUUGAAAAAAUUAUGAAAAAAAUAAAAAGAUAAGUCACGCAUAAAGUAUUAAUCAUGUUUUAUCAUCUAACAACAAUGAAAAUACUAAUUAUAAAAAAAAUUCAUAUAAGACGGACGGUCAAACGUUGGCACGGAAACCUAGGGUUUGUCUUUUU